AGAUUGAACGCUGGCGGCAGGCCUAACACAUGCAAGUCGAGCGGUAGAGAGGUGCUUGCACCUCUUGAGAGCGGCGGACGGGUGAGUAAUGCCUAGGAAUCUGCCUAGUGGUGGGGGGAUAACGUUCGGAAACGGACGCUAAUACCGCAUACGUCCUACGGGAGAAAGCGGGGGACCUUCGGGCCUCGCGCCAUUAGAUGAGCCUAGGUCGGAUUAGCUAGUUGGUGAGGUAAUGGGCUCACCAAGGCGACGAUCCGUAACUGGUCUGAGAGGAUGAUCAGUCACACUGGAACUGAGACACGGUCCAGACUCCUACGGGAGCAGCAGUGGGAAUAUUGGACAAUGGGCGAAAGCCUGAUCCAGCCAUGCCGCGUGUGUGAAGAAGGUCUUCGGAUUGUAAAGCACUUUAAGUUGGAGAAGGUUGUAACUUAAUACGUUGCAACUUUGACGUUACCGACAGAAUAAGCACGGCUAACUCGUGCCAGCAGCCG
rnacentral:rRNA from 1 species